UGGGGAAUCUUGCGCAAUGGGGGAAACCCUGACGCAGCGACGCCGCGUGCGGGAUGAAGGCCUCCGGGUUGUAAACCGCUUUCAGUAGGGACGAAGCGUAAGUGACGGUACCUGCAGAAGAAGCACCGGCUACCUACGUGCCAGCAGCCGCGGUAAUACGUAGGGUGCGAGCGUUGUCCGGAAUUACUGGGCGUAAAGAGCUCGUAGGCGGUUUGUCACGUCGUCUGUGAAAUCCUAGGGCUUAACCCUGGACGUGCAGGCGAUACGGGCUGACUUGAGGACUACAGGGGAGACUGGAAGUUCUGGUGUAGCGGUGGAAUGCACAGAGAUAAGGAAGAACACCGAUGGCGAAGGCAGGGCUCUGGGUAGUAACUGACGCUGAGGAGCGAAAGCAUGGGUAGCGAACAGG
rnacentral:rRNA from 1 species